rnacentral:rRNA from 1 species
UACGAAGGGUGCAAGCGUUACUCGGAAUUACUGGGCGUAAAGCGUGCGUAGGCGGUUCGUUAAGUCUGUCGUGAAAGCCCUGGGCUCAACCUGGGAAUUGCGAUGGAUACUGGCGAGCUAGAGUACGGUAGAGGAUGGUGGAAUUCCCGGUGUAGCGGUGAAAUGCGUAGAGAUCGGGAAGAACAUCAGUGGCGAAGGCGGCCUGCUGGGCUGUUGCUGACGCUGAGGCGCGACAGCGUGGGGGAGCAAACAGG